rnacentral:rRNA from 1 species
UACGGAGGGUGCAAGCGUUAUCCGGAUUCACUGGGUUUAAAGGGUGUGUAGGCGGAUAUUUAAGUCAGUGGUGAAAAUCUCCGGGCUCAACCCGGAAACUGCCAUUGAUACUAUUUAUCUUGAAUAUCGUUGAGGUUGGCGGAAUAUAUCAUGUAGCGGUGAAAAUGCAUAGAUAUGAUAUAGAACACCGAUUGCGAAGGCAGCUAACUAAGCGAUUAUUGACGCUGAGGCACGAAAGCGUGGGGAUCAAACAGG